AUGCCAGCCUGGUCGGUGUCAUGGCGUGCAACUACCAACCCUGACCUACCACUACAUAAGCACGCGCCGCACCGUGUUCACAUUAUGCCUAGUACCACCACCCUAGCCAGUCCGCGUUUUCGUCAAGGUGACAAUAUGCAUCUAGCAACUCCCCUUCCCCAAGGUCCCAACCAAAAACGGCGGUUUCGUCUUCCUCACGCACACGCAACAAGAGAUAGGAAGCACCAAAAGCCGGAUGAGAUUGGAGGACAAGGUGCUCAAGGUAGGAGUUUGGAGGAGUCUCGGAAUCAGGUGAUGUCUAGGAUCUUCGACGACCUAUCCGACUUCGAUGACGAGGCGGAAUACCGAGUAAACAGUGGCCGCAAGGUCACCGGGGUGAACGCCAAGAAGCACGCUGGUGGUGAUGACGACCACCAGAACCACAGCCAUCGCAACCGCCUUCCAACCCGUGGCACAACAAAGCACGCUUACAAUCGCCGCCUCCAUGGCAACCAAUGGGAAGAUGGAAAACCUUAA
rnacentral:rRNA from 1 species